CUGAUGAUAUUUCAAAUUCUCUACGGCGACUAAAUCCAACGAGAUUUGACGAAGAUGGCGAGUUGUCCGGCGAACCUGAAAAACUCUACAAGCUCAGACCAACUGGACGAUCUUUCUGACGAAUGCGUAAGAACGUUAAGAAGGUUAUGAUGAUUGAAAUAUGUUCUAUAUGUGGAGAAUGAAAGCUAAUAAAUGGAAUUCAAUGGGAUUUCAUAGCUGAUGAUGAAUGUGGAUCUUUUCUUUGUAUCAUUCAUGAAGAUAUAUGCUACAAAUAUUUGAUUGGGGUUGUUUUAGAAGAUUUUGGAAUUGAUGACAACAAAAAAAAGUGUAAAGCUUAGAUAUCUCUUACCAUCAAAAUUAAAUUUUGGUACAUAGGAGCUUUCUCCAAUAUUUAUUAGGAAUGAUCGUCAAUCAACAUCAUAUCUGAACAAACUUCAAGAGAAUGAAGGACUUCUUCAUCUGUGUGUAACCAUUAAGAGAGGAACAUACACAUUUCUCCUUACGGAAUCACGCAAGGUAGCCCAUGGUAAGCUGAACGUGUCUGGAUGGAGAUGGCAAAAAUAGACGUAAAGCAGGAUGUAUAGUGUCUUAUUCGAGUAUGUAUUUUUCUAUUCGAAAUGAGGUAACUUGU